UUAUCUCCUUUAAAGCACAAU
rnacentral:piRNA from 1 species